rnacentral:rRNA from 1 species
ACAGGGAUUGCCCUAGUAACGGCGAGUGAAGCGGCAACAGCUCAAAUUUGAAAUCUGGCUCUUUCAGAGUCCGAGUUGUAAUUUGCAGAGGGCGCUUUGGCGUUGGCAGCGGUCCAAGUUCCUUGGAACAGGACGUCACAGAGGGUGAGAAUCCCGUACGUGGUCGCUGGCCUUCGCCGUGUAAAGCCCCUUCGACGAGUCGAGUUGUUUGGGAAUGCAGCUCUAAAUGGGAGGUAAAUUUCUUCUAAAGCUAAAUACUGGCCAGAGACCGAUAGCGCACAAGUAGAGUGAUCGAAAGAUGAAAAGCACUUUGGAAAGAGAGUCAAAUAGCACGUGAAAUUGUUGAAAGGGAAGCGCUUGCAGCCAGACUUGCCUGUAGUUGCUCAUCCGGGCUUUUGCCCGGUGCACUCUUCUGCGGGCAGGCCAGCAUCAGUUUGGGCGGUUGGAUAAAGGUCUCUGUCAUGUACCUCUCUUCGGGGAGGCCUUAUAGGGGAGACGUCAUGCAACCAGCCUGGACUGAGGUCCGCGCAUUUAUGCUAGGAUGCUGGCGUAAUGGCUGUAAGCGGCCCGUCUUGAAACACGGACCAAGGAGUCUAACAUCUAUGCGAGUGUUUGGGUGUCAAGCCCGAACGCGUAAUGAAAGUGAACGGAGGUGGGACCCCAUUAGGGUGCACCAUCGACCGAUCCUGAUGUCUUCGGAUGGAUUUGAGUAAGAGCAUGGCUGUUGGGACCCGAAAGAUGGUGAACUAUGCUUGAAUAGGGUGAAGCCAGAGGAAACUCUGGUGGAGGCUCGCAGCGGUUCUGACGUGCAAAUCGAUCGUCAAAUUUGGGC